ACUGCAUUGAUCAAUGUUGAUACAAAGAUGAAAGGUUAAACUGAGCAUGCGCAGUUAGACAGUCGUACGGAUGUUACGAAAUCACACAGGAGUAGAAAGGAUAAUAAAGCAUUCAAGUUUGAUUCUAUGGUUGAGAUCUGUCUAAUCGGUCAACGAGCUAUCAUAGGUACCUAUCUAUCGGACAAUACUUGAGAAGUUAAUGCUCAACGAUCUUCAGCAAAAUGACGUCAAGGUUGCUCCUGGAAGUAGAG